CCUGUGCCUAGCUCCGUGUUUGGAACUAGGGAAGACAGUGACCAGUCAGAUGUUCCCUGUGCCAUGAGGACACACAGAGCUGGCCUUUUGGAAGGAGGUAGCAGGAUAGGGCUGGUGACAGUUGCCCAGAUUUCUCUCAAAUGGAAAGGGGAGGGGGCCCAGAGGAUCCUGUGGGUUCCCGGAAGUGCGGGGAAGUGCAUGGAAAGCAUGCUAGAGAGCUUGGCCGGGUCCUUGCAGCAGUACGGCCGGAGGGUGGUGUAGGUCCAGCCCCCGGAUGGGGAUAUGACCAAGUUAAAUUUGAGUCGCUUGAAUUUAAAUCACUGAUGAGGCUGACUUGACUUGAAUGUUAACAGAUUAACUUCUCUGUUGGUCGGAAAUGGGGGCUCGUUACAAGGAUAGGGUUGAGUUGUCAAGAAAACCACAUUUUUGCAUACCUGAAUUUGGAAGACUGCCAUGUAUUCUGGAAUUUUCAUCUGUUACAAUUGGAAAAGUCAACAUAGAAGGGUGUGGAAGGUGUGGACCUAGAGAGCAGGGGUGUAUGGUUUCUUUGUUAGUGGUCUAGGGGUUACUCCUCUCCACUAGAAGGCCUUCGACUUAGGUUUCAUGGGGGAGGGAUGUGCUCUGGAAACUGGGUCAGGCAUCACUGUAAAGCUGCUUUGGGGGAGUCCAAGGUGGGGCCUGGGGUUGGGGUGUGCUAUAGGCUAGAGAAGACUGUGCCCCAGUUCUACCCUUGACCCAGCCAGCCUCUGCAAACCCUGGGGCUCCAGAGGGUGGAGUCGUAUGGGAAAUAAUCAAUACCACUGGAGGCCUGUCACUCAGCCUCAAACCCUGCUCACGAGAGAGCAAAAGUAUAAGAGAGAAGCCCCUAGAUUCUUUUUUUUUUUUAAUUUUUUUUCCGUCUAUUUUAAAGACAGCAAGAGCAUGAGUGUGGGGGAAGGGCACAGGGAGAGAGAGAGAUUGAGGCGAGAAUCUCAAGCAGGCUCCGUGCUCAGCCCUGGAGUCUGACGCAGGGCUCUAUCCUGUGACCCCGGGACCAUGACCUGAGCUCAAAUCAAGAGUUGGACGCUCAACCGAGCCACCCAGGCACCCCGAGAAGCCCCUGAGUUCUGAGGGGGUGAAGGAACUGUGGGGCCCUGGGAGGGAGAAGCCUUUGAUCCUGGUUAAGACCCCCUCCUUAAUUCUGCCUUUUCUGACCCUCAUGUGGGUCAGCAUUGUUCCUGUCCUGAAGCAUAUUUAUUCCUAAGUACACUGAAAGGAUGAGUUUAUUUAUUCCUUCACUUGAUUGGUUAAUAGGACACAGGUCCUACCGCAGAGCCCAUUAGAGCACACGUCAGGGCAGGAGGGCUUCUCCAGCAGUGCAUAAACUACCUCCAGGAAAUCACCUACCUUCUCUGGGUCAGGACUGCUGAGAGGGGCUGGUGGUGCCAGUAUGUAACGCUCCCUUGAGGAUUUAUAGAGGCACACCUCAAAAUAAUGAGGGAGGUAAUAACCUAACAGCUAUGGCUUAGUGAGCCCUUACUACGGUCCGUACGUCGUUUAAAGCAGCUCAUUUUCCCAGGUGUUUCCUACACCCUUUGAUCAUGAGAUGUAGAGCCAAUUCGCGUAAGAAAAGAGCCAUCAGUAUAAUAGAAAUGACCAAGACCUGGCAGACCUGAGCCGAGGCCCCAGAGAGGGGGUUUCUUCUGCACCUCAGAGCCAGAUGGUUUCUGUCUCCUGCUUCCCCAGCCGGAUCCUGGUCUGGUCUAGCUGGAGAGUGGAGAGGAAGCGGUGUGAAUCUUGGAACUGACCAGUCGGGAAAUGCUGGCUGGGGUGGAGGUCCCUCGGUGACAGGCCUGCGAAAGGACUGUGCAGAGGUUCAGAAAAUAAGUUCACCUACUUCUGUUGGCUCAGAGCUGGCCUGAAUUUUUAAUUGAAGCAAAUUAAAACUUCCCAAAAAGAUUAGUCCACUUUCUUGGUGGUGUGCACACCCCCUUCCCCAUCAGCACUUUUGCACCAUCUGCGAACAAGCCGGUAUUGGCCCCAAGAGAGACCUUCCCCAGCCGCUGGCCCAGAGCUACGGUUCAGAAAGGUCGGGCCCAUUUAUAAGGACUUCUCCAGAAGUCCCGUCAGAUGGUCCCUAUGGGGCAGACUAAUGUUUAGUCAUCGUAGUGUGAUUUGCAAAGCGGUGUGAGGCUGGUGUAGUUCACGAGGAACUUCUUCCAUUUCUUUGUGCCUAAAAUCUCUACGGGCUUCUUUGUCUUCUUUAACAAGUCAGUGGAGUCCUCUGCGCCCUUUGUCCUGUGGUUGCUCUUUCUUUGGUGACCCAGAAGACAGGUGCUGGUAUCAGCCACCGAAGAAGUGGACGAUGGUGAGGCCAUUACCAUUACCACUCUCGGAAGCAUCUGGCCUUUAGCGCCACGCCUCACCAGGUGCCAGGAUGCACCUGCUUCUGACACUCUGCUGCCCUCUGAGCGGAUGGGACCUGCUUUGCUACUGAUGCUUGUGCACAGAUGGCCGUCAGCAAGCACUGGCCUCUCACGCCCUGGAGUGGCCCCAGGGAUUGACCUGUCCAUCCAGUCUGGCCUUUCCCCUCUAACAAGUGCUCAUUGAUCAUCUGUCUGGCCUUGGGCUUGCUGGCAGUGCAGGCCUGAAGCAGUAGAGAGAAAGGAGUCACUCCCUAAAAACGUCACUAACAGCACUAUGCCACAUUUUCUGUAGAAAUAAGGGUCCACCCUUGCUGAUGGGUCACUUCACGUGGAAUGAAGAGUCACAUCCCUCCCCCUUUGCCAGGAUGCCACGUUGGCUUCUGAGAAGACCCUCCCCGGAUCGCUUAGGCGUGGUUGGAAGUUCAGCCACAGUGCUGGGCUGCGCGUUGCCUGUCUGCAGGUGCGUGCAGUAUUUUGCAUCUGUGUACUCACGAGUGCGUGUGAGGUGAUGGUCAUCCAGGGAAAGGCACGGUGGAUUCGAUCCAGAAGGUCCAGGCUUAUGCCUUAGUUUUGUGGCUGACUAUUCCACCACGGGCAGGUCACUUGUCCUUACCGAUCUGUGGCACCUCGAUCUACAGCGAGGAUGAGACUCAUCCAUAACUUGCCAGUUCACCAAAUCGUGGAGUGCAGUAAUGCAUGUGGAAGUGCUGUGUGAGCCAGAAAGCAGUAAAUAAAUGCUGGUUUAAACAAA